AUCAGAUACUAUUAAAUAUAUAAUACUGAAAUAUCACAUAUAUUAGAGAGAGAGAGAGUGAGACACCACAUCUUCGUGAUCCAUUCAUCUGUUGAUGGACAUCCCGGUUCUUUCCAGUUGGGCUAUUGUGGACGUUGCUGCUGUAAACAUUCGGGUGCACAUGCCCCUUCGGAUCACUGCAUUCGUAUCUUUACGAGUGGCCGCACCAGCUCGCAUUCCCACCAGCAGUGCAGGAGGCUCCCCUUCCUCCGCAUCCUCGCCAGCAUCUGUCGUUUCCUGAGUGGUUGAUUUUAGCUAUUCUGGCUGCUGUGAGGUGGGAUCUCAUUGUGGCUUUGAUCUGUAUAUCCCUGAUAUCGAGUGAUGUGGAGCACGUUUUCAUGCAUCUUUUGGCCAUCUGGAGAAGUGUCUUCUUUGGAGAAGUGUCUGUUCACCGGAAGCUCCUUUAUCCCAGCCUGGCGCGGACGUGGUGCAGGAAGAGGGAGUCGAGGAUCCGGGCAACCCCACUGCCGCCAGCGACAGCAUCUCCACCUGCCGGUGCCUGUUGCGGGGCUGGGUGGCCAGGCAUGGUCCACAAGGUGGUGGCAGCCAGCACGACCUCGGAAGGGGCUGGGAGAGUGAGCGUUCCCGCUGCCUAAAGGAGGGGGCUCUUCUGGCCUAGCGGCAGCAGGAGCCACACAAUGAAAACCGGGGAGGCCAGAAUCCAGGGACAGGGGUGAGUCAGCAAGUGCAUCAAGCCGGGGCUGAGCCUGGGGCAGGGGGUGGGGGGCAGUGCACAUGGAGGCCAGGGGCCCUUGGGGAGACAGCGGAGACAAUGUCGUGGGAGAGGGCGGGGCGCGCAGCAGGGAGCCCCCAGGAAAGGGCUGAAGACAGCAGAUUCCGGGUGGCAUGGGAGCCCGCGUAAGGGGAGCAGUGAGGUUCACAGGUUCGAGGCCAUGAAGGACUUCCUUCCCUCACCCGGGCGCUUCUAAUGGGGUGGCUCUGCGCUUUGCCUGUCCUUCCCUUAGUUACAAGGAGUAUUUAUCUCACAUCGUCAUUUCCUUUCUGCGGGUCUGCUCAGGGCGGUUUCCACUUGUUAACAGGCAGGUUCUGGGAACAGCGAGCUCCAGGGAGUGGGGUGGGGGCUUCACAGUGCCAGCCGUGGAGGGGGCCGCCUCUGACAGCUGUGUUCCAGGAGAUGGGGCAGCGACUGCCCUAAAGCUCGAUGGACAUGAUGACAAUUUUAAGAGUUCCUCUAACUAGGAACUCCCCGAGUCUCAGGGUUAUGGAGGAGGGCAUUUCUGCCAAGACUAGAGACCUUAGCUCAAAGGAAUGACAGGCUCAGGGCAGUGAACCUCCAGCCCAGCUCCUCUCAGAGCGGCAAUGUGGCAGGCAGAAUUCAAAGGCCCCCAAGGAUGCCUGCACUCCGGGACAUACCCUGUGUAAUCCAAGAAGGGAAGGGGCUUUACAGCCACAAUAAAGUUAUUUAUACGUAA